AUGGCAAAUGAUCCAAUCUCCCAAAGAAACUCUUCACCGCCGAGGCUCGUCGGUGGUGCGCCGCCGUGCCGGCCUGCCCCCUGUAGAGCCUGCGUCCGCCGGGCUAGCUGGCCGGCGCCUCUCCGCCGUGGAUCUGGCCUCAUCCGCCUCGCACUCCCCACCCGCAUCGUUCCCCAACCGCUCCUCCUUCCGCCACCAAUUCAAUCUGACGGGACGAGAGCAGGGGGAGCACGGGCGCGUCCGAUUCGGUGCAGUCUCGUGGUGGUGCUUUGGCGGGCAUCUUCUCGUCUCCGAGCCGCCGAAUACGACAGAUCCCACCCGCGGCGCCGAUUCCAUUUUACAGUGAGAGGUAUUGGUGGUCCUGAUCAUGGUGUUCAGCAAGGUGGAAGUGAACCUCAGAAGGCUGCUUCAGGAGGCUCCUCGGCAGCAGAAUCAGGCCAAGCUUGCCCAUCCAGGGAGCUAUUGGAACAGCUUGGAGCAGAAAUUACAACUGAAGGAGUAUCAAGGGUUUCAAAAACUAAGCUCAGUGAGUAUUCAGAAAAGAUUGAAGCACUAGCUGCCACACUGGCUGCUUCAGUGAAAGAAAAUGAAAAUCCAGUUGAUGAGAUCAAAGAAGAAAGCUCUUGUGAAAGAGAAAAGGCUGAGAGUCCAAUAUCCUUGUCAGCAGGAUUGCGAAGGAGAUCAACGGCUCAGGUGGAAGCUGGUACAAGCAGUCAUGAUAGAAAAGAAAGAGAGACUGGAGGGCCUAUUAAAUUGGAUGCAGAAGCUCAGGCUAACAUUGAGAAGCAUAGGGACCUGCAAGACAGUCUGAUAGACGAAAUGGUUGACUUAGCACGUGAGCUGAAGAAAAGUAGCCUUGUAGUGAACCAAUCCGUACAAGAUACAGAGAAGAUCCUUGAUUCCACUGAGAGAGCCAUGGAGCAUAGCUUGGCGAGCACCGGCAGCGCAACGGCGCGAGCCUCUGAGGUCUACUCGCUGGCCUCCAAGACAACCUGCUUCCAGUGGUUGCUCAUUUUUCUGAUGACCUGCAUGUUUGUCAUGGUGGUUAUGCUCAUACGGGUCACCUGA
rnacentral:rRNA from 1 species